UACAUAUCAAUAAGCGGAGGAAAAGAAACCAACAGGGAUUGCCCUAGUAACGGCGAGUGAAGCGGCAACAGCUCAAAUUUGAAAUCUGGCCCCUUCAGGGCCCGAGUUGUAAUUUGUAGAGGGUGCAUUGGUGUUGGCCCCGGCCUAAGUUCCUUGGAACAGGACGUCACAGAGGGUGAGAAUCCCGUACGUGGCCGGUCGCCUUCGCCUUGUAAUGCCCCUUCGACGAGUCGAGUUGUUUGGGAAUGCAGCUCUAAAUGGGAGGUAAAUUUCUUCUAAAGCUAAAUAUUGGCCAGAGACCGAUAGCGCACAAGUAGAGUGAUCGAAAGAUGAAAAGCACUUUGGAAAGAGAGUCAAAAAGCACGUGAAAUUGUUGAAAGGGAAGCGCUUGCAGCCAGACUUGCCUGUAGUUGCUCAUCCGGGCUCUUGCCUGGUGCACUCUUCUACUGGCAGGCCAGCAUCAGUUUGGGCGGCCGGACAAAGGCCCUAGGAACGUAGCUCCCCCCGGGGAGUGUUAUAGCCUAGGGCGUCAUGCGGCCAGCCUGGACUGAGGUCCGCGCUUCGGCUAGGAUGCUGGCGUAAUGGCUGUAAGCGGCCCGUCUUGAAACACGGACCAAGGAGUCUAACAUCUAUGCGAGUGUUUGGGUGUCAAGCCCGGGCGCGUAAUGAAAGUGAACGGAGGUGGGAACCCCUUGGGGUGCACCAUCGACCGAUCCUGAUGUCUUCGGAUGGAUUUGAGUAAGAGCAUAGCUGUUGGGACCCGAAAGAUGGUGAACUAUGCCUGAAUAGGGUGAAGCCAGAGGAAACUCUGGUGGAGGCUCGCAGCGGUUCUGACGUGCAAAUCGAUCGUCAAAUUUGGGCAUAGGGGCGAAAGACUAAUCGAAUUAUCUAGUAGCUGGUUCCUGCGA
rnacentral:rRNA from 1 species